UGGUCGGUGAACAGUCGCGAAUCGAUUUGGAAAUAAAACGCGUGAACGAGUAAAUUUCGCUGAAAAAUUGAGGAUUCUUCGGCCGUUCGACGAUGAAGAUCGUGAUCCACGAAGACGACGUCCGCGUCGAGGCGUUAGCGCACGGCCAAGCCGGCUCGGCGCCAAAAUCAGCUCGCCAGUCGUGCUUUCCGGUCGGUGUUUUAUAAAUACUGCAGACAGUCGAAGAGUGCAGCGUACACGGGAGUCGCUGUAAAAUCACGAAUCCCGGCAGGCACGUUUACGGUUAGAGCAGCAGAAAGAACCGAACUCGAGUUUCGUGUUUCAAAAGAGACAAAAGUUUCCGGCCUGUUUCCAGGAGGUUUCAGCGCAUUAUGAAGUUGAUCGUGAAGAAAUAAGUGCGUGGUGCUGGUGUUGGUGACAUUUUCACGGAUUAAUUGUAGCCCGGGUUGGCUGAGCGAAUUCUUGGAACGAAGUGCCAAAAGUGCGAAUGAAUGCGAAUGAGCACGAAUGAGUGCGAAUAAGGGCGAGUGUGUGGUCGAAAGUUGGGAGAAGAAGCAUUUGAUGAAGCAUAUUAUUCGGUCGGGAAAAGUGAUAACCGAGCUAUGCUCAGGGAAAGUGCGAUAAGAGGCGGAGAAGCAAUUGCUUAGGCGCCAGUUGGAUCUUUUGUCGAAGAUUACUCGUCGUUUGAUAUUUUCUUUUACCUGGACUUUUUGGUAUUUUCUUCUACCUGGACUUCUUGGUAUUUUCUUCUACCUCGACUUUUUGGUGUUUUUCCACUACCCGGAUCUCUCGGCAUUUCUUAGUCGUAAGAUCCAUCGACUUCGCGACAGGAUCGAAGAUUGAUCGACGCAAAGGCCAAGACCAACAUGUGACAAAAAGGAGUGUCGAGCGUGAGACGGGAGAAUGUAAACCUCGCGAUAUCUGCGUCGACCACAGCGGACAGUUAAACGCAACUUUUGGCUCGAAUUCGAGUUCGUGGCGCACGAUUGACGACCGUCCGUCAGAAUGAGCUUAAUGAAGAAGGCCAUUGGCGGAUCCAUUCACAGGAUACGAGAGUUCGAGCUGGAGAAGGUGAAUUUGAUCGACGAGUUCGAUAUUCUACAAAUUGUUGGAGAAGGAUGGUUCGGCAAGAUCCUGCUAACCGAGCACCGAAGCACCCAGACCGAAAUGGUACUGAAGGCGCUGCCAAAGGCAUACACCGGCAUCUCGGACUUCUUUCGCGAGUUCCAUUAUGGACUGCACCUGGCCGCGCACAGGAACAUCAUCACCACCUACGAUGUGGCCUUCGAGACCGCCGGCUUCUACGUUUUCAGCCAGGAGUACGCUCCUCUUGGAGAUUUAACGUCCAACGUAACGGAGACUGGGCUCGGCGAGCUUCACGCAAAAAGGGUAGUCAGACAGUUGGCUGCAGCGGUGCAUCAUAUUCACAGUCGCGAGUUGGUGCACCGUGACAUCAAGCUGGACAAUAUUCUCGUGUUCAGGAGCGAUUUCUCGCGGAUCAAACUGUGCGACUUUGGCGAGACCAGGAGGGUGAACACGGUGGUGCGUCGGCACAACGAGUGGCUGCCAUACUCGCCACCCGAGGUAUUGCAGAUCGACACUGACGAGACGUACAAAGCUCUCACGUCGCACGAUGUCUGGCAGUUCGGCAUUGUCCUAUUUGUCUGUCUGACCGGAUGCUUACCGUGGCAGAAAGCGGCGUUGGACGACCCGCGCUACACCAGAUAUCAAAACUGGCACAACGCGACGCUCAACAUAGCCAAGAAACCGAAAUUAUUUCAGCUGAUCAGCUCACGAGCGCAAAGGAUGUUCAAACGAUUACUGGACCCUAAAGCCGAGAAGCGACCCGUUAGCGUGUUGGAGAUAAACAAAUACCUGGAGGACAGGUGGUUAGCGAAACUCGGCGCGGAGAAGGCUAUGAACGGUGGCGCCGACGAGAGGGACGAGCUCUGCCCGUCCAUGUACAGCUUCCACAGCUCUCUCGAGGAGAAGAAUCAACUGCUUCACACUCUGACCACGUACGGGAUCGAGACCACGGUGGACAGAGCUAAGAAGAAGGACCGAAUCAGAGAAUGGAUUCAAGCGAGCGCUAUAGUGGAAGAGCACGAGGAAGACGAGUCGGAUCUAAACGAGGACAUUCGUGUCUACGAGGAUGAAGACGAAGAACCGAGCUCGAUGAAAGGCAGACACUUUCCGGAGACUCGUCCAGUGGUGAAGAACGAACCCAAGAAACAUGGAAACAGAACGCAUGCAUCGUCAGCUAGAAAGAGACAGCCUAUCAAAAGACAGCCAACCGAAAGGAAGAUUCCGUUUGCACCUCAAGUAGCCGAGGAACGAGAAACCAUCGCCCGAUUCGCCAGUUUCCCCAACGGCGAUCCUAACCUCGCGGUCCAUGCCAAUGGAAUAAACGGCAACGCGAUACUUCCUCUCGCGUUACCUCUGAAAACCGAACCCAACAUGGAGGAUCGGAAGCCAUUGGCGAACGAUCAAAUUAAUAAUUCACCAGCGAGCAGUUUGAACGCUUCUCAAGACGAGAUUCUUGCAACGAGGAGUGGCAAUGGCUUCAAAUCUAAUUUACCCGAGGGAACUGCCGAACUGGCAAAGCCCUCGCAAGAUUUCCAGGAUCGAACCUCGCGGGUAGACAUGCUUGGUAAUGGAAGUUUGCAGAGGAACCCGCAGAUCCCUGCUAGAAGGCAUCGUUCGCAAACCGCACCGUUUCCGGCCUCGCCGGUGUCGAACGGAAACGAAGCAGAGUCUGCGAGAAGAACGCAAUCGGCCACUGUAUUGGCUGGUUCGACGCAGCCAGACAGAUCCAACAUGGCGAUCGGUCGACCGAUGGAGAGGUCAAGUGUACCGGUAGCGAACGGCCAAUCGUCGAUGGCUCGGGGCGAGAGCUCGACCCCGAGAGCGGAGCAUCGAUCCCCGACGCAAUCAAUGUCUCGAGUAGAGAAUGCACCGGUGGUAAUGCUGCCUAUGGCAGCGGCUCGAGUGGAGAAUCAAUCGAGUAAUCUGACAGCGGCCAGAAACGAGAAAUCUGGGCCGGUUCCCCUUGUGUCGCAGUCCGCCAACCCUCUCACUAUGUCUGUCGCAUCUCAUUUGGUCAUGCAGAGUUUCAACGCGUUACAAGGGAUCAACGCAGUCGCCGCGGGGGACAACAAUAAUCCUGCGACAGGUUCCACGUCGAAUUUGCGAAACUCGCCGAAAAACAGUCCAUCUUCCACGCCGAGUAAGACCCUGACACCGAAAGAUAGUCCAACUACCACUCCCGCGAGAACCUCUACACCUCCAAAAAAUAAGAUUCAUAAGGAGGAAACGAUGAUCUAUAGGAAGGAUCCAUUUGAACAAUAUGGAAUCGCCCAGGGAGUGAUCCUGAGGACGGACAACACGCGACGAGGUUCCAUGGAGAGCGGCAACAGAUCCGCUAGUAAUUGAGGAUCGAUGUUUGAUUUCGCUUUCGCGUGACACGGAGGUGGGUGGAGGUUGUCGAAUCGAUGGGAUUGCGGAUGGGAUGUGAUACCGUACAUCGUGUCCUGGUUUGGCAACGGUUUAUGCGUCGUGUAUCUGGUUACGCAAGCCAGAAAAUUCGAAGCAGGAAAAGUUGUGUUCUCGUUGUGAUACUCGAUUUGCAAUCAGUGGUCGGACACUGAUGGUGGUAGAAUAUGUUUUGAAAUGAAUUCCAGGACUUUGAGAAGAGGAUGAAACCAGAUAUUUCUUUGAAGAUAGCCACUGAAAGACAUAGAGUAGAUCUUGCUUUAAACGAAAAUAAACUGAUCCGAGGAUGGAGAGAUCGAGUACGACCGAUAAAUGUUGCAGAAAAAUCAAAUGAAUUUGGUUACUUUGAGAGGAAGACGAAAUAUAUACCAUGGAGGCGAAUGAAAUAUUAUUUGAAGAGGUUGCUGAGAGACAUAGCGUAGAUCUUGUUCUAAUUCAGGACACGUUCGUUUGGCUGUGGAGGUAGUUUUGUUUGAAACGUAAUGAUUUCUGGAACAUAGCACGAUACAAAGAAUCAAAUGAAUUUGAUAUUCCUCUGAACGGAAUAUGAAACAACGAAUGAAAUACUUUUUGAACGUGCCUAUUGGAAAAUAUAGAUUAGAUCUUGCUAUAACUCGAAAUAAAUUGUUUUAUCAAAUUCCAAGAUGUAAUAUCUGUAUCUAUUUUACAUAAUGCCGAGAACGAGUACGUAAAUAUUGAACGCAUAGAAUUACGAUAUAAAUAUAAGCCGAUGCCCUGUUUUUCGAGAAUAUUUCCACCAAACGACUCGCCAUAAAGAAACACACUCUAUCCAUGAUAACUAUCACGAACAGUAUUAAGGUGAUCCAAAGAGUACUAAAGAGGCCACAAAUAAAAGGACGAAUGAAAAACUACGAAUUUAUAUACCCCAUAUAGAGUGAUUGAGAACGAGGAAGUUAUAUAAAUUCAAGCUACUCGAUCGUCGCGUCGUACCUAUCGAACUUGGUAUCAAACGAUGCAACACAUAACAGUGUAUCGUUUAGUGUUUAAACUGUCCCGUUUGUUGGAUGCGAGCCAUGGACGAUGCUCAUUAUAUUCGCGAUUCUUUUAUUCCUUCAUGCUGAUUGUAACAUUGCAUCGCCAACACGAACCUCGUUCAAUCUCGAUAAUUUAUGGAUUAUUGUUUCCUUUAUCGUUUCCUUUUCGCUGCCAACAGGAUGGGCCGAUGAAUCGUACAAGCAGACAGAAAGGAACAAUUUACGUAUAGCUGUGAUCGUCGAUCAGCCAGGAAUCGUGGAGGCGGACAAAUUUUGGCAAGUUGCUCCCGGAAAACCACUCGUUCUUGUCCUUGACCGUGGAGGGAGCAAGCACUUUCGAUUUUCUUAAG